ensembl:rRNA 5S_rRNA 5S ribosomal RNA
UGGGAUGGCCAUACCAUCCUGAAUGUGCCCAAUCUCGUCUGAUCUCAGAAGCUAAGCAGGGUUGGGCCUGUUUAGUACUUGGAUGGGAAGGAUGGAGAGAUAGGGAAACAAAGAACCACAUUGU